rnacentral:tRNA from 2 species
GCGCCCGUGGUGUAGCGGAUAACACGUCAGCCUCCGGAGCUGAAGAUCAGAGGUUCGAGUCCUCUCGGGCGCACCA